rnacentral:rRNA from 1 species
UACGGGGGGGGCAAGCGUUGUUCGGAAUUACUGGGCGUAAAGGGCUCGUAGGCGGCCAACUAAGUCUGAUGUGAAAUCCCCAGGCUUAACCUGGGAACUGCAUCCGAUACUGGAUGGCUUGAAUUCGGGAGAGGGAUGCAGAAUUCCAGGUGUAGCGGUGAAAUGCGUAGAUAUCUGGAGGAAUACCUGUGGCGAAGGCGGCAUCCUGGACCGAGAUUGACGCUGAUGAGCGAAAGCUAGGGGAGCAAACGGG